rnacentral:snoRNA from 1 species
UUGGAGGUUAAGAAAGUGAGACCAGUUAAGAUUAUGUGGUUCUUACUGAUACCCACCUCCUAGAAUAAAGCAGCUGAGAGAGCAACUUCUACCAGUAGAAGGCUGGGGUUACAUCUCAGCCAAUAAGA